UACAGAGGUCUCAAGCGUUGUUCGGAUUCAUUGGGCGUAAAGGGUGCGUAGGCGGCGCGGUAAGUCGGGUGUGGAAAUCUCGGGGCUUAACUCCGAAACUGCAUUCGAUACUGCCGUGCUUGAGGACUGGAGAGGAGACUGGAAUUUACGGUGUAGCGGUGAAAUGCGUAGAUAUCGAUAAGGAAGACCAGUGGCGGAAGGCGGGUCUCUGGACGAGUUC
rnacentral:rRNA from 1 species